UUGUUAUGUAAAAUAUUUGUUUAGGUGUGUGACAACGCCACCCAGGGGAAUUUCACCCCCGGGAACCUUCUAGCUCUUAAAAGUAAGAGCUAGGUUGAUAUCAUGAGCAGAGUCCGUUCCAAUUCACAAUAAUCUUUAUUUAAACAAUCAAAGUAAAAUGAACUGUCGGCGGGUAUUUAACAA